rnacentral:rRNA from 1 species
GAGGAAUAUUGGUCAAUGGGCGAGAGCCUGAACCAGCCAAGUAGCGUGCAGGAUGACGGCCCUAUGGGUUGUAAACUGCUUUUAUGUGGGGAUAAAGUGAGCUACGUGUAGUUUAUUGCAGGUACCACAUGAAUAAGGACCGGCUAAUUCCGUGCCAGCAGCCGCGGUAAUACGGAAGGUCCAGGCGUUAUCCGGAUUUAUUGGGUUUAAAGGGAGCGUAGGCCGUGGAUUAAGCGUGUUGUGAAAUGUAGACGCUCAACGUCUGAAUUGCAGCGCGAACUGGUUCACUUGAGUAUGCACAACGUAGGCGGAAUUCGUCGUGUAGCGGCGAAAUGCUUAGAUAUGACGAAGAACUCCGAUUGCGAAGGCAGCUUACGGGAGCACAACUGACGCUGAAGCUCGAAGGUGCGGGUAUCAAACAGGAUUAGAUACCCUGGUAGUCCGCACAGUAAACGAUGGAUGCCCGUUGUUAGUUCACUUAUGAAUUAGCGACCAAGCGAAAGCAUUAAGCAUCCCACCUGGGGAGUACGCCGGCAACGGUG